rnacentral:rRNA from 1 species
UACAGAGGUUUCAAGCGUUGUUCGGAUUCAUUGGGCGUAAAGGGUGUGUAGGCGGCGCGCUAAGUCGGGUGUGAAAUUUCGGAGCUUAACCCCGAAACUGCAUUCGAUACUGGCGUGCUUGAGGACUGGAGAGGAGACUGGAAUUCAUGGUGUAGCAGUGAAAUGCGUAGAGAUCAUGAGGAAGACCAGUGGCGAAGGCGGGUCUCUGGACAGUUCCUGACACUGAGACACGAAGGCCAGGGGAGCAAACGGG